GCAGUUGGACUUUGGGUAUUGAUUCUGAUGCACAGAAUAAACCCACAGUAGUGUCUCUUGGAAAGGCCUACCUCUUGAGUUUUCUUGCAACAGAUGCUAUUUUCUCCUGCCUUCCUUGCCUCUGUCUGGAGGGUAGAGAAGUGACAUCUCUCAUUGGGCCAGAUUUAGGCCCAGGAACCUCAUGUUUCUGGCAUCUUGAGCAAACAAAGGCAAUACUGAAGGGAGUUCAUGAGUUGCCGUCCCAUGAUAGCUGGUAAAAUAAGCAGAAACAACUUCAGUGCCCUCUACCACAUGGUACAAUCAGUAAUGGCUGGUGUGGUGGUGUAGGUGGGACACCCCUUCAACCCAGUUUCCAAACACAGAGUUUUUCUUGUGCUUACUGGAGGGAGAGGGACGAGGUGUGGUGCAUUUGGUGUGGUGUGUUGCAGUGGAGCCAACCUUUGCUCUUGCUUUAUGUGCCUACACAAUGUCAAGCUCCCUGCACCUAGCCCUGUCUCUCCAGUAAGCACCAGUGACACACUGUUUUGGAUGCCAGGAGAGCAGCAGUGCCCCACCUACCACACUGGCUGCUACUGGAUACAGUGAAACACCCCCUCCAUCCCACCCUGCAACAAUAGGGUUCCUAGUCAACUUGUCCAGAUGUGAAUGCCAUUGCUUAUGUGGUUGUAGACUAGAUAAACUGAGCUGAGCAUAACCAGGGUGGGUAUGCAGAGGGAUAUAAGACUUCAUGGUUAGAUGGAGAAGGUCAAAGCUGCCCCAGGUGUUAAGGAGAUGAUUUUAACAAAGCAAAUGUCUGUCAAUGCUUAUUUACAAAAAAAGUGCUUGCAAAUGUAUGUUUCAGGCAGCUUCACAUGUCAGGCACCCUGGAUUGGCUGCAGCCUCUUGGGAGCUAUAGUUUAUUAAGGGUGCUGGGAAUUGUAACUCUGUGAACUACAUUUCCCAGGGUUCUUUGGAGGAAGCCAUGUGCUUUUAAUAUACGGCAUGGCUGCGAUCUGGUGGCAGGUAUUGGACAAAUGUAUGACUCUGAAGCUUGCAUUGUUUUAUCUGCCUGUCCUCAGACCCUGGACCCUCCCAUCCCACUCUCCUGCAACCCUAUCUUUCAUAUUUCAACAGGAACUACUUGCAUCUUCACAAGCAUUUCUCUGUAGUGAUAAGAGCUAGGAUUUUUUUUUUAAUGAAUGCUACAUGGGGACCAAAUACAAGGGGUGUGUUGACUGUCUCCUAAAAAUGCUCUUUUAUGUUAGUAGGAAAGCAGAGUAUUACAGGAGUACUUUUCUUUCCUUUUGCUGACAUUAUGAAGGUUGGAUAUUCUUCUUAGGAAAGUGUGUGCCAUCUAAAAACCAGUGCCACGCUGCAAGCAUGUCCAGGGCUCUUUUCCUUAGCUCUCCCCUUCAGUGGGGAUGAGCUAUGUAAAGCUGGGUCUAUAUGGAUGCCUGCCUGGGCAUACACAGGUGUAUGCAGACUUGCGUGAACAUUCAAAAUCUGUAUAGAGAUAACCCAGGUUGUGCAGUCAGGUUCAGUAAGGUCAAUUAGGAACAUAUGCCUAUAUUUGUUUGCUGGCCUAAUUUGCAAAUACUGUGGGAAUUUUUGGCAGAGACUUGGUGGAUAGAAAGAGGGGAUAGUCUGUAGAUCAGGCACAGGUGGAUGUUAGUAGUCCCAGAGCCAUAGGGAAUAAUAGUCAUGGGGGAAAGAUAAAACUUUGGCUGUUGCCCAUUGCUUAUCCUCAUAUUCCAGGGAGUGGAAGCUUUCCCCCAGGCUCUGAUAUUGAGACAUUUCUCCAGGUACUGCAUAAUUGCAAUGUUCUCUCUGAGGACCAGGGUGGUUGCAGUGGUUGGACUGUCAGACUAGGAGGCUUGGGCCAGCCAUUGUUUUCUUACCCUGACCUACCUCACAGGGUUGUUGUGAGAAUAAAAUAGAGAGAGAGGAACCAUCCGUGCUGCCCAGAACUCCUCAUAGGAAUAGUGGGGUAUAAAUGUAAUAAAUAAACCCAUAAGGACUAAUAAUUUGUGCUUAUCCGUUGAGAGUUUCAGGAUGUUGAUUUAGGAAGUUUCAAAUCUAUGGCAGAGGUGGGAUUGCAUCCCAGGUUUUCCAAGCCAAGCCCCUUCUCCUUUCUGGAUUAUGCUGGUCCAUUAUGUGCCUUCUAGUUUGUUAUGCCUCUGAAGGUUCUGUGGUUUUCCUGAACAGCUUAUAUCUCUCAGAUCGUCGCCCAACCCAGCCCAACCCCAUCUGUUUUUGCCUACCACUUUUACUGGAGAUUCUGUUUUUCCUUCAGUUGCCCCCUGGCUUGACUGAUGGAUCAGGUCUGGAAGGGGCUUGAGAUCAGGGAGUUGGCUGGCUUCGUUUUCUCCAGCCAGAUCGUUCUCAGAUGAAGUAGGCUUUGGAACUAAGUAUCAGGCCAACUGGUCUCCCAUUUUUCUUCUCUCUUUCUGCACUUUCACUUUCACAGGGUCCACAUUCUUCUUUGGACCCCUGACUUAUUGCCAGCACUGACUCAGGCCACAGAUGGCUCGGGGGACGGAGGUGUACACAUGUGCAACGAGAGACACCUUGUCUGCUCCUAAUCUGGACAUAAGAAGCCAAUUACGGGCUGGGAUACCCUUUCAUAGGCAGCAGAUGGGGAAGGCUGCGCUGGCGAGCUGCAGUAGCGGCUGAGGGGCUGACUUGGAACAGCGCUGCCUUUUUCUAACGUGUUUGCAAAUCCUCGCCAGCUGGGAGGAUUAGAGCCAGCAUCUGGCUUGCUUUAUAAUAUUUAAAACAAAGGGAGUUGCAGGCGCCGCAAUGGGGGCGGGCGGUGAUUGGUGGUUGGGGGGGCUGCUCGCUGAGGUGAAACUGCUGGGAAAAUAUGCGGUGAUAACAGCAGACAUUCCCCUUCCUGGGGAGCCUUUACGGGCCAAUAAAGCAAGUUUGGGUUGAGCAGCAUCCUGGGGUGUUAGGACCACAGCCCAAAUCCUGUCUUAGGCUGGGACUCAGCUGCAGGGGGAAGGCUUGACAUUUAAGGGCUAUUGCUGAAUUGUCUGUUGGGCACACAGCACUCAGGCUCAAUGCUUGUUAAAGAAGCUUGUUCCUGUAAGCAUGUGCAGAGUGCCUGUCAACUUCUCCCCCGAGAAUGUUUAUUCUCUGUUUCUGUAGAAUCCCACUUUUCUUGGCACAGAAUUGUGGUUUCUUAUUUUGGGGCAGAAAUGCCUUUUCUUUUAGGUAUUGGGUAUAGACCCAGGAAAGAACAUCAGGGUUAUGGAGUAUGAUAUUUGAGUCAGAGGAUUUAGUAUCAAGGGCAGGCUUGAGCUCUGGUGCCUGGGGAACUAAAACUGGGGAACUAAAACUGAUGACAGGGAUGGCAAAAUGAAAGCCCUGACUUCUCAUCGAAGAGACUGCCUUGUUGUGAGUUGUGAGAUUCCAAGAUGCUGUCUGUUUUCCUUGUGCUUGCUCCAGCCUCUCCGUUGCCUAGCUUUCUGAAGAACCUAAGUCAGCCCAAGGGCUGGGAGGCAGCCUUGCCUUCAAAUAGCUCCCUAAACUUGCAUUUAUUUUUCUGGGGCAAUGCAGACUUUAAGGGGGGGGGGAGGGCCAUAACUCUGUGAGACCUGGGAGAGACUCCUGCCUGCAGUCCUGGAGAUGCUGCUGCCAGUAAAUGUAGGCAAUAUUGAGCUGGAUUGACCAAAGGUAUAAGACAUUAACAUAAGGCAGCUUCCUGUUUUCCCAUGUCUUGCCUGAGGUCAUACAGCUGAGUGCCUGUGGCAGAGCUGCAAAUCAAAACCCAGCUUUCUGGGAUUAUUACUAUCAUUUUGGUUGGGGGGGGGCAACCUGAGAGCAGGUGCCAGACAGGGCUAAAUUGAGUAAAACAAAUGGGGGGGGGGGAGUCUGCUUGGACAUUGUACCGCUUCUGCUGUGAAGUUCCUCCCAAAUCUGAAUGGACUGUUUAUUGGUGAAGGAAAGACACUCUGCACAUGCUUAGAAGCAUGCUUCUAUAUGAUGUAUUUACAUUUUCCAGGAGGGAGUUUUGAUGGUGAAAGCAGGUUUGCAGAGGCAUCGUCAUUUCUGUUUUCUUAAUUUCUUGUUACUACAGUUCCCAGGAUUUGCCCCAUGUGCCCCACCCUAGCUGCCCAAACCCCUCUGUCCUUUCCCCACCCUGUUUUAUCAGGCACCUCUUGGCGAUUGGCUUGAAGGGUUCUCCUACCCAGCCUCCUUUUCCUCCUCCUCCAUCCUUGGGUGCUCUAAACCGCAAGAGCUGCAAUCCUGGCCAGGUUCCUCGCUGUGGUUCAAGGGAAGCGUCUUAUUUGGAGGCCAUGGGGAAGAAAGCUGGCGGUGGCAGCGAGGUUGGAGACGGCUGGGGUUUUGUUAGGAUGCUUAUUUUUCACCACGUUUUGCCGCUCUUGAUGCUUCAAGAAUUCAGGAAGCCGAAGCGCAGCGAGUGCCAAGCCAGAGCUGUACGACUGCCAAGACCCGGCUUGUUUGCUCGUCUCGCUGGAGCCAGUAACUGACCUUAUUAGCUUAGAGGGCAGCUGCCUUAUUAAUGCACAUCUGGUGGAGGGGAGGCUGCAUAGUCCUUAUAUUGUCUUCCUGCUUGCUCCUAACUUUGCGUUACCUUGCAGGAAUGCUGGAGGGGGCCGUGGGGGGGGGGUGAUGGAGAGAGAGCACCAAGGGGGGAAAGAGAGACUUGGAGGGCUGGAGCUUGUGUGUGUGUGUGUGUGUGUGUGUGUGUGUGUGUCUGCUGGUGGUUUUGCUGGGGUUCCCUCUGUGAUCUUGAAACAUAUAUGCAUUGUAGCAAUAUGGUCCACUUAAUGUGUUACUGCAACAAGCUUCCAGACCUCCUCCCCGUGCCCCUAAGGUUGCCAACUUUCCCCUCCGGCACAGCUCCUGUGACUUUUAACAGCUGUGUGUGAGUAGCAAAAACAUCCAAGUGGCAAGAAGCUUGCCAUUGGCCAUAAAAUCUUUACCACCUCAGUCUCUGGUUCUUAAACAGUCUCACCCAUGAGCACAAGCAUUGGUGAGAAGAUGGCAGUCCUUUAGCUGGCCCUCUUUACUGAAGGAAAGGGAGUGUGUCAGGAGAAGCAGCUAUACUAGCUGUGGCCUGUAGCAGACCAUGGCCACCAGAAUAUGCUGCUCUGAGCCAUAAAUAGCAAUGCCAAGGAACUGUUGUCAGUGUAGAAAUGUUGUAGAAACAAUAACAAUUUAUUUCAUAAAAUUUAUAUGCUGCUUGAUUGUUAAAAUAAUAAAAAACCCAAAGUGGUUUAC